CCAUAGUACCCUAACUCUAACAACCCUCCGCUAAAUCAUAUCUCUGAGCACCACAUCCAAAUGGCUCUUAAACACAUCCAGGGAUGGUGACUCAACCACCUCCCUGGGGAGCCUAUUCCAGUGCUUAACCACCCUUUCUGUAAAGAAGUGUUUCCUAACGUCCAACCUAAACUUACCUUGGUGCAACUUGACGCCAUUUCCCCUCGUCUUGUCACCUGUUACCAGUGAGAAGAGACCUGCUCCACUCUCACUGUAAACACCUUUCAGGUACUGGAAGAGAGUAAUAAGGUCUCCCCUCAGCCUCCUCUCCCCCAGGCUAAACAGCCCCAGCUCCCUCAACCUCUCCUCAUAGGGCUAAUUUUUCAAGCCCCUCCCUAGCCUCACUGCCCUUCUCUGGACCUGCUCCAGUACCUCCAUGUCCUUCUUGUACUGAGGUGCCCAAAACUGAACACAGUACUCAAGUCCUGCUCACCACACCAUUCCUGAUACAAGCCAGGAUGCCAUUGGCCUUCUUGGCCACCUGGGCACACUGCUGGCUCAUAUUCAGCUGACUGUCCAACAGUACACCAAGGUCCCUUUCCAUCAGGCAGCUUUCCAGCCACUCCUCUCCAAGCCUGUAGGGUUGCCUGUGACCAAAAUAUAGGACCCAACACUUGGCCCUAUUGAAACUCAUACAGUUAACCUUGGCCCAUCAAUCCAGUCUAUCUAGGUCCCUCUGUAGUGCGCUUCUCCCCUCUGGCAGAUCAACACUCCCUCUCAGCUUGGUGUCAUCUGCAAACUUACUGAGGGUGCACUCAAUCCCCUCAUCAAGAUCAUCAAUGAAGAUGUUAAGCCGAAGUGGCCCCAGCACUGAGCCUUGGGGGACACCGCUCGUGACCUGCCGCCAACUGGAUUCAACUCCAUUGACCACGACUCUUUGGGCCCGGCCAUCCAGCCAGUGCUUCACCCAGCGGAGCGUACACCCAUCCAGACCAUGGGCAGCCAGCUUCUCCAUGAGAAUGUUAUGGGGGACAGUGUCAAAGGCCUUACGGAAGUCCAGGUAGACCACAUCGACAGCCUGACCCUCAUCCACUAAGCGGGUCACCUUGUCAUAGAAUUAAAUCAGGUUUGUCAGACAGGAUCUACCGUUCACAAACCCAUGCUGACUGGGCCUGAUCCCCUGGUUGACCUUUAAUUAGUCUGUGAUGGUUCCCAAGAUUAUCCAUUCCAUAACCUUCCCGGACACCGAGGUGAGACUGAUAGGCCUAUAGCUACCAUGAAAUCCCAUCUCUAGUGCUAAUACUUAAAAUAUAGGUCCAGAAAGGAGGUCAGUAAGUUAUGCAGUUCACUCAUCUGACCCAGCAAUAUAUUUUCUCAGUACUGUUUGUCAGAGUGACCAUAAAACUUCCUCCCUACUCUAAAGAUAAUCUCUUUCAGUAAGUCACAACUUUCUCAAUCCUUAGAGAAUUAUCGUCUUAAACAUUAUGAACACUGAAAAGAUUAUUCUGAUUAUUUUGCUAAUCUGUAUAGGAAUUCAAUACUCUAUCUAAUGGACAGAUACUUUUCCUGGAGUGUGGAAUCUGAUAUUAGAAACAGUAUAUAGGUAAC
ensembl:lncRNA